UGGGGAGCAGGGGGGAAUGAGUGCGGGUCCUGAGGGGCAUCGGAGUGGGUGCCACAGCACCUGCAGCAACAGCCCUCCCUUCUCCCGGACGUGUCUAGAGGAGAGGCUCGGUCUGCUGGCUUCGUGGACCCCGGGCUGGCCUGGCCUGGCCUUCCCCAGUAGGGGAGAAUCGGUGUCUGUCCCUGAACACUGGCCCUCAGCUGCCAGAAAUUCUGAAGGCAAAAGCUGAGGAAUUCGAAGCAUUUAUGACUUAGCAGGAUUGUUCCCAAACUGCAGGCGUCUCUAAAGAAGCUUUCUGGAUUUCAUUGUGGUUGCUUCUCAGCUCUUAGAUCCUGGCCAAGGACUCCCUGGGUCUCACUUUUCAGGGCUGCCCUCUGGCUGCAGGGUCAUGGCCUCCAUGAGGUUGGCUGCCUAACACAUGGGUAUUUGCAAACCUUGCUGCCUUCCUGAAGGGAAAAAGCAUAGAAACUGGAGUCGGAUGGUUCUAGCCCUUUCUAGAAGGGUCAUCUUGGUCACAUCUCGGGUUUUUUGCUCAUUUUUCACAUGGCUUGCCACCCCUGAGAACCUAGGGUAGUGGCUUGUCUAGAGGAGAAAAACCUAUCUGAGCAGAAUAACACGCGUGCUUUUUCCCCAGUAACUGUUUCUCUUGAGUUUGAACGGUAGCUACUCUCUUCUUACAGAUUCUGCCUCUGGUCUUUAACCCCAGUUGCAGCUAAUUGGCCCAGGGGUGGGCGUCUGACCCACACAGAGCCAGUGAUUAGCAUUCAGGCACAAAUUUGGAGCCCCGCAUUGGUGUCCUAAACUACAUGGCAAAUAGCUUUCCUUUCUAUACUCCCACUGCCCUCCCACUCCACUGCAGACAUCACUGGCCGGGGAAGAGUGCGGGAUUGAUUAGUAAUGUCUGCCACAGGUGUGUGAGGAGCAGAGUAAGCAUGCUGCUCUUUGCCAGCCCUGGUCCUAGCAGUAAGAAUUCAUAUUUAAGGUGGAACACUCAGCUUUACCCAAUGUCCACAGCAACACUACCGUUCAGUCCCCCUGACCAGCACCGGGUGAUGCAAUGGGCCUGCUCAGACUGGGAUGGUUACUAACGUAGUUGGAGCACAGCUUCAAGCCCGAAGAGGGUGAGGUGGGAAGGAGACACUUGAGUCAGGCAAACAGAACCGAGCCUCAUCCUUAACAUGUGACAAGCCCCCCCCCCCGCCCCCAUAUCUCACUACAAAGAACGAGGCUCAGAGAGGUAAAGUGACUUGCCCAAUAGCACACAGCUAGAGAGCGCCAGGCCUUGAUCCCGGGUGCUGUGCUCUAACUAGAAGUUCCCAGGGGUUCUGGCUGUACCUAUUUAUUUUUUAAUGUUUAUUUGUUUAUUGAGAGAAAAAAACGCAAAUGGGGCAGGGGCGGAGAGAGAGGAGAACAGGAUCUGAAGCAGGCUCUGUGCUGAGAGCAGAGAUCCCAAUGUGGGGCUCGAACUCCCGAACCGUGAGAUCAUGACCUGAGCCGAAGUCAGAUGCCAGGUGCCCCUGGCUGUACCUAAACUAUGUGCUUGUGCACUCCUGUUUGGGUCUCUUCUGGGUCCGUGUAACUUGACUCCCUGACACUUUGGGAUAAUGUAAAAGAAGAUGUCUGCUAGAUGGCCUGCUUGCUUUUCCCUGGAGUUCCAUUUUGAAAUACUUCACGGAGUUAUUGUCAAUGUUCAUCGGUGCGUUAUUGGAAAUAUGCAUCAAAACAGCGUUCAUGCAGAGGCCUGUGUGAGUAAUCCUGGUUGUGAGCGGAAGAAGCAGCAACUUUCAGUGGAGUCCGUUCACACACGAGCACAGGCGAUGCCAACAGAAUUAUGUGCUCUCUGCAGGGUGGCCAGGCUGGGCCUGGACUGUGGGCCAGGAUGGCCGUCACCACGUUUCUUUAGUUCACUGCCACUGGGCCCAUAGAUAUUCCCUGAAGCAGAUGCCAGAGCCAUCCCCUGGCUGCAGGGUGGGGGCGGGUAGGGAAGGAAGAUUGGAAAGGGUGGCGGGAGGGAUGGCAGGCGGCCCUGGAAAGGCGUGGUUAUUAAAGACCCAGCGUCUGGUUGGAGGACCUGGGCACUUUGAUGGUGGCGCCCUCCUCCUGGCUCUUUUGAUCAGCUCCCAGGCCUGAGCUCCUGCCUCAACCCCUGCCCUGUGGUUCCCCCCCCCCCCCCCCCCCGUGGGGCUCCAAGGCUUUCUGCUCAACCCCCUCUGUGAAUGAUGCCACUCCCUCUGAUCUCAAGCCUCGCUUCCUGCCCGGGCUCAGCCCUACCUGCUGGAGUCCUCCUGCCUGAACUGUUUUCCAGCCUGUGUGAGCCUCACCUGUGAGACCUCAGCAGUUCUGGCUGCUUCUUUGGGCACAGCAGCGCUCAGCCUCCAUAGCCCUCAGGCUCUUUUCCUCCCUCCAGACUCAGCCUGUCUCCUGCUUUCUGCCCAGACUGGGACAGUCCCCCUAAAUCCCUACUCCCGGGCAAAAGCAGGCCACUCCUUUGCUGCAGAAAAAGCGAGGCUCCCUCAGCCAUUAACACCUGCGCCCCUUCCCAGAGCGCCCCAAAUAACCACGUGCUUGGCAAGAAAAGACAACAGAACGGACCUUCAAAAGAACACCUUGGGAGUUUUGUUCCAUCUUUCUUGAUUCAACUUCAGAGUUUCCUAUUAAGGAAAAGCUUCACCAUUCCCCCUCUGCCAACCAACUAACUAGAUGAAUACAUAAAAUAAAGUCAAGAGGAAACACAGUAUUUGAGAUGUUAAAAGGAACACAGUUGGAGUUACACCCCAUCGAUAACUGCUCUUGACCCGUUUCUAGCCGGUGUGGCCCCGAGAAACUGGGAUUAUGGGAACAUGGAGACAGCAGGGAAUUGUGGGGAGAAUGAAGAUUUCAGAGUCCGAGCUGGUUUGGAGUCCUGGCUAGUGAGGCUUGUAGAACCUCUGUUUUCUCCUCUGUAAAAUAGGAAUAAAAAUAGCACCUACAUGAGAGUGGCUGCUGAGUUCUCUGCAAAAGCCAAUGAUGUGCCGAACACACGGUUGGAGGCCACAAGGCUUUGUCUGCAGUCUUUCCUUGACUUCUGGGGCCCAUCUCUGAAUCAAAGCCUCUUGACCAGGAAGGGGCUUGGAGCUGAGCUUUCCUGAGUGGGAGCAUCUGUCCCCGGGCAACACCCUCAGCUUUGGCAAAAUGUGGGUUCUACCUGGCACAACCAGACGGGGUCUGAUCCCAGAGACGAGGGGAUUAGCAGGAUCCCAGCAGGGACCGCGGUUGGAGGGGGUCAAGCAGAGCAGAAGCGUGGGUUCCGUGUGGGGUCUAAACCGGGGGCCAGGGGAGAGGAGCAGGGCUUGGAAAGUCACUAGACCGUCCACACACGGGGAUGAGGGCAUGCCUGUUUUGUUCUCUGCGGUAUUGUGUACCUAGCACAGUGUCCGGCACUGUCUUUCUUGAACAAAUGAAGAAUAAAUGAAUGACAACCUUAUCAGUCGGAGCCUGGUUGCUCCAGGAAUUCCUUUUCAAAACAAGGCAAAGGAGACCAGCUGCUGGCAGGAAGCAGAGGGCCUCUGGCAAGCAGACGGGUCUGUCUGGAUGCAAAGCGUUAGUGAUUGGUCAGGCAGCGUGGAACCGGAUUCUAGCAGGUCCUAUGGGCAGGCAAAGACAUUCUGGUCUCCGGAGGAUGGAAACCAUGGAGGGUACUGAGGAAGAUCUGGUGAAUUCAAGACGUUAGAACUUGACCUCUAGAGCCAGACUGCCCAGAGCCCAGCUCUGUCAUCCACGAGGCAUAUGACCUGUAUCAAGUAUCGAACCUCUGUGCCUUUACUUUUUCCUUUAUAAAACGAGGAUGGUAAUAGUAUGUCACAGGCUUGUUGAGAGGAUUCAAUGAGAUUAUUUGUAGGAAGUCCACACUAAGUGCUCGGUAAGCACCGCUGUUGGGACUAUUUGAGAGGAGUGGGAGAUUAUCGGAGCUGUGUUUCAAGAGAGUGAAGCAGGGAACAGGUGCAGGAUGGAUUACCCCAAAGCGAAGCUAGUUAAGAGGUCACUGCAAUAUCCAGGCAUGAGAGGAUAGGGCCUAAAUUAGGGGAAUGAUUGGGGCCUGAAGCGGAGAUCAGUGCAAAACAGGUGGUCCAUGAAGAAGCAAUCAACAGAACUGAUUGGCUGUGGUGGAGGGGAAGGGCAGAGGAGGGGGGAGGAGAAAACUCAGAACUCCUUUGUGCCUCUGAGAGCGAGGGUGCCUGGGUAGGAGAUGGCACCCCCAGGAGGGACGACGGACGUCUAAAGAAGGAGCAGGAGUUCACAUCCCCCCUCAUGUCUGCGUGGCAAGAUGGCAGAGGGAGACCACGGGAGGCCUGGCGUGCAGCCGACAGAGCACUGCAAACCCAGACGUCACGUCCCCUGACUCCUCUCAGGUUCUGAGUCCUUGCCCCAUGAGGUCAUCAACCUGGUUUCCUGGAUUCCAGAUGCAUUUCCUGCUCCUGAGGUGUGACCUGGCACAUCCGGACUCCUUGAGGUCCCUGUGGCAUUUCCAUCUUCUUCUAAGUACCAGUGUUUCAUAGUUAGUUUACUAAUCCCAACCUCAGCCUGCUCCUGCUCUCUGGGCCCAGCCCAACUGGAUUUCUAGAAAUGAUCGUGUCUCAUUCAUUGUAGUACCACCAGGUCAUCGUACCGUGCCUACGUUUAUGUGUGCUAUGGAUAGCAAGUUACAAACACUCUCUAAUGUGCCCAUAUAUUGAUUGCAAAAUACCAUUUUCUUAAAAAAAAAAAAAAAAAAUCCAAGCUCCGUGGAGAAAUGACUGAUUCCAGGGUCAGAGUAAGUAAAGCAUAAGAGGAGUCUGGAACACCUUAUGAUGCCAGAAAGUAAGUGCUAAGAACAAAAAAAUAUGGAGCAGCAGGUCAAAAGUGUCCAGAAGCCAACCUGUAAGAGCUCCCAAUGGUCAAAUGAUGAAAGCUGGAGGUAUAUGAGCAAAAAAACCC